GACGAACGCUGGCGGCGUGCUUAACACAUGCAAGUCGAACGGUGAAGCCCUUCGGGGGUGGAUCAGUGGCGAACGGGUGAGUAACACGUGGGGAAUCUGCCCUGAACUCUGGGACAAGCCUUGGAAACGAGGUCUAAUACCGGAUAUGACCGGCCUCUGCAUGGGGGUCGGUGGAAAGCUCCGGCGGUUCAGGAUGAUCCCGCGGCCUAUCAGCUUGUUGGUGGGGUAACGGCCCACCAAGGCGACGACGGGUAGCCGGCCUGAGAGGGCGAACGGCCACACUGGGACUGAGACACGGCCCAGACUCCUACGGGAGGCAGCAGUGGGGAAUAUUGCACAAUGGGCGAAAGCCUGAUGCAGCGACGCCGCGUGAGGGACGACGGCCUUCGGGUUGUAAACCUCUUUCAGCAGGGAAGAAGCGCAAGUGACGGUACCUGCAGAAGAAGCACCGGCUAACUACGUGCCAGCAGCCGCCGUAACAC
rnacentral:rRNA from 1 species